rnacentral:rRNA from 1 species
UACGUAGGGUGCAAGCGUUGUCCGGAUUUACUGGGCGUAAAGGGCGUGCAGGCGGUUUGUUAAGUGCAGGGUGAAAGCCCCCGGCUCAACCGGGGAAUUGCGCCCUAAACUGGCGAGCUAGAGUGAGAUAGGGGUGUGUGGAACUUCCGGUGGAGCGGUGAAAUGUGUUGAUAUCGGAAGGAACGCCGGUGGCGAAAGCGACACACUGGAUCUUGUCUGACGCUGAGGCACGAAAGCCAGGGGAGCGAACGGG